rnacentral:rRNA from 1 species
AAAUGAUAUACAGUGAAACUGCGAAUGGCUCAUUAAAACAGUUAUAGUUUAUUUGGUAAUCGAAUUUACAUGGAUAACCGUGGUAAUUCUAGAGCUAAUACAUGCUGUAAAGCCCGACUCUUCGGAAGGGCCGUAUUUAUUAGAUAACAGACCAAUAUUCCUCGUGUCUAUUGUGGUGAAUCAUAGUAACUAAUCGGAUCGCAUGGGCUAGUCCCGCGACAAACCAUUCAAGUUUCUGCCCCAUCAGCUUUCGAUGGUAGUGUAUUGGACUACCAUGGCUUUUACGGGUAACGGAGGAUUAGGGUUCGAUUCCGGAGAGGGAGCCUGAGAAACGGCUACCACAUCUAAGGAAGGCAGCAGGCGCGUAAAUUACCCAAUCCUAAUUCAGGGAGGUAGUGACAAGAAAUAACGGGUCGGGGUUCUACCCCGGGACUGCAAUGAGAUGAAUUUACACCCCUUUUCGAGUAACAAUUGGAGGGCAAGUCUGGUGCCAGCAGCCGCGGUAAUUCCAGCUCCAAUAGCGUAUAUUAAAGUUGUUGCAGUUAAAAAGCUCGUAGUUGGAUUUCUGGUUGGCUGUUUCUGCCCGCUUGUGCGUGCGCAGUGGUAGCCUACCAUCCUUCUGUUAACCCAGCAGCUCUUCACGGGGCUGUUGGGGGCUCAGACAUUUUACCUUGAGAAAAUUAGAGUGUUUCAGGCAGGCUAGCGCCGGAAUACAUUAGCAUGGAAUAAUAGAAUAGGACUUUUACCUCUUCUGUUGGUCUGAGGGGUUCAAGUAAUGAUUAAUAGGGAUAGUUGGGGGCAUUAGUACUUAACUGUCAGAGGUGAAAUUCUCGGAUUGUUAAGACUAACUUAUGCGAAAGCAUUUGCCAAGGAUGUUUUCAUUAUCCAGAGCGAAAGUUAGGGGAUCAAGACGAUCAGAUACCGUCCUAGUCU